CCUACGGGUGGCAGCAGUGAGGAAUAUUGGUCAAUGGACGAGAGUCUGAACCAGCCAAGUAGCGUGAAGGAUGACUGCCCUAUGGGUUGUAAACUUCUUUUAUAUGGGAAUAAAAUGUUCCACGUGUGGGAUUUUGUAUGUACCAUAUGAAUAAGGAUCGGCCAACUCCGUGCCAGCAGCCGCGGUAAUACGGAGGAUCCGAGCGUUAUCCGGAUUUAUUGGGUUUAAAGGGAGCGUAGGUGGAUUGUUAAGUCAGUUGUGAAAGUGUGCGGCUCAACCGUAAAAUUGCAGUUGAAACUGGCAGUCUUGAGUACAGUAGAGGUGGGCGGAAUUCGUGGUGUAGCGGUGAAAUGCUAGAUAUCACGAAGAACUCCGAUUGCGAAGGCAGUUCACUGGACUGCAACUGACACUGAGGCUCGAAAGUGUGGGUAUCAAACAGGAUUAGAUACCCUUGUAGUC
rnacentral:rRNA from 1 species